rnacentral:rRNA from 1 species
UACGGAGGGAGCUAGCGUUGUUCGGAAUUACUGGGCGUAAAGCGCGCGUAGGCGGCUUUGUAAGUUAGAGGUGAAAGCCCGGGGGCUCAACCCCCGGAAUUACCUUUAAGACUGCAUCGCUUGAAUCCGGGAGAGGCGAGUGGAAUUCCGAGUGUAGAGGUGAAAUUCGUAGAUAUUCGGAAGAACACCAGUGGCGAAGGCGGCUCACUGGACCGGCAUUGACGCUGAGGUGCGAAAGCGUGGGGAGCAAACAGG